rnacentral:rRNA from 1 species
UACGAAGGGGGCUAGCGUUGCUCGGAAUCACUGGGCGUAAAGCGCACGUAGGCGGGAUUGUUAAGUCAGGGGUGAAAUCCUGGAGCUCAACUCCAGAACUGCCUUUGAUACUGGCGAUCUCGAGUCCGGGAGAGGUGAGUGGGAACUGCGAGUGUAGAGGUGAAAUUCGUAGAUAUUCGCAAGAACACCAGUGGCGAAGGCGGCUCACUGGCCCCGGUACUGACGCUGAGGUGCGAAAGCGUGGGGAGCAAACAGGG